rnacentral:lncRNA from 1 species
UUUGAGUGACCUUGGUGACCUUUGGUGGGUUUUGGGUUGACCUUUGGGUGACCUCGUUUGACGUUGGGUGGGCGUGGCCUUGACCAUGGGUUGGUCUUGGCCAUUGGUUGGUUCUUCUUGACCUUGGGUUGGUUUUGGCUUUGGCCAUGGGUUGGUCUUGACCUUGGGUUGACCUUGGGUUGGUCUUGCUGUUGAUUUGCUUGAUCUUGAUGUGAGUUGGUCUUGACUUUGAGUUGACUUUGGCCAUUGGUUGGUCUUGACCUUGGGUUGGUCUUGAUCAUCGGUUGGUUCUUCUUGACCUUGGGUUGGUUUUGACUUUGGCCAUGGAUUGGUCUUGACUUUGAGUUGGCCUUGGGUUGGUCUUCACCAUGAGUUGGUCUUGACUUUGGGUUGACUUUGGUCAUUGGUUGGUCUUGACCUUGGGUUGGCCUUGGAUUGGUCUCGACAUUGGGUCGGUCUUGACUUUGGGUUCGUCUUGACCUUGGGUUGGUUUUGACUUUGGGUUGACUUUGGCCAUUGGUUGGUCUUGAUCUUGAGUUGCUUGAUCUUGACAUGAGUUGGCCUUGACUUUGGUCAUAGGUUGGUCUUGACUUUGAGUUGGUUUUUGGGUUGGUCUUGGCCAUGAGUUGGUCUUGACCUUGGGUUGACUUUGGCCAUUGGUUGGUCUCGACUUUGGGUCAGUCUUGACUUUGGGUUCAUCUUGGCCUUGAGUUGGUUUUGGCUUUGGGUUGGUCUUGACGUUGAGUUGCUUGAUCUUGACGUGAGUAGGCCUUGACUUUGGCCAUGGGUUGGUCUUGAUGUUGGGUUGGCCUUGGAUUGGUCUCGACAUUGGGUCGGUCUUGACUUUGGGUUCAUCUUGACCUUGGGUUGGUCUUGGUCAUGGAUUGGUCUUGACUUUGGCCAUUGGUUGGUCUUGACCUUGAGUCGGUUUUGACUUUGGGUUGGUCUUGACCUUGGGUCGGUCUCGACUUUGGGUUGGUUGAUCUUGACCAUGAGUUGGUCUUGAUUUUGGGUUGGUUUUGACCUUGAGUUGGUCUUGGCCAUUGGUUGGUCUUGACUUUGAGUUCGUUUUGACCUUGGGUUGGUUGGUCUUGACUUUUGGUUGGUCAUGGCCAUGGCUUGGUCUUGACUUUGGGUUGGUUGAUCUUGACCAUGGGUUGGUCUUGACUUUGAGUUUGUUUUGACCUUGGAUUGGUCUUGAGUUUGUCUUGGUUUUUGGGUUGGUCUCGGCCAUGGCUUGGUCUUGACUUGAGUUUGGUCUCAGGAUUGGUCUCAACCAUGGCUUGAUCUUGACCAUUGGUUGGUUGACCUUGACUUGACAUGGCCUCGACCUGGGCUGACCGUUGGUCUUGGUUCUGCUGACCAUUGAUGGAGAU